CAUAUCUAUCAUCAUAUUAUUUUAUCUUAUUAUAAAAUUCUUUAGAUUGAACAUUUAUUACCUUAUCACUACCUUCAAAAUCUAAAUCCAAAAAUACUUGUAAUUUAUCCAUGGUAUUAUUAAAGCCACUUUUUUCAAACAUCUCCAAUAUGCAUUCAUAUUUAUCAAGCACUCCACAUUUUUUCAACUCAUAUUCUAUAUUUUUGAUGUUUUUCUUUUCUACUCUUUCAAAUUUUUUUAUAUUUUUAAAUAAAAUAUAUCCAUCCCAUGAUAAUGUAACAAUGGCUUUAUGUCUUUUAAUAAGUGGAAAGCCAUCACUUCUUCUACUAUUGCAACCCCGC
rnacentral:lncRNA from 1 species